CCUGUCUCUCUACCACUGAGACUGUAGUUAGGCCGAACUUAGUUUAACAGAUAUUUCACACUUUCACAUACUAACUACCAAAAUUGUAGAUAUAAAAGUGAAAUUAUUUUUUGUUUUCUAUUUCCGACAGUACUUUAGUAUACUACUUUUUGGUUAAUGAAAUCUUAUUUAAACAUGGCAAUAUAUCUAUAUUGUACACCAUUAGUCAUGAACUAACAGGGUAUUUGUAAACAUUUUAAAGGAAUACCUUUUUGGUCCAGUGGUCUUCAUACCACAGUCACAUAACGUUAUGUCGAAGAUUGAUGAGUCGAAUGUAUGGUUGUCACGGAGUAAAUGCUAGCUAACUGCGUAUUUCUUUUUAGCCAUCAUUUUCCGGAUGUGUCCACCCUCGGAUAACUCGAAGUACGUAGUCCCUUCGUCUUCAACAGAACGGUGUUUAACUACGGCUGUAUCCCCAUGUGUUCAUUACAUUUUUAGUUUAUGGAGUUGUUUUAACAAUGCUAUCAACCCGAGCUUUUGUGGUUUUCCAUGUUUUUACCAUAAAUAACAUGCGAUGUAUAUUCACAAAUCUUGUAUAUGACAGGUAGCCGUUGUACAAAGUGAUCUUAGCACCAAGGUGACCGUAACUCCCAUACCUUAACAUAGACCCCCCAUGCCUUAAUAUAGAAGGUUGUUGUGUACAACGGCACCCUGAUUAAUUUGUAAGUGUGAAAAUGAAUUACUGUAUACAUUUUGGAGGCAUUUAUAUAAUCAAAUCAACUGAUUUGUACAUCUGAUCUGAAACUUCUUGUCCACUACGCACUGUUCUCUGGGUGUUUUUGUGACCUGGUAACUAUUCAUAAACAGCUCGAACUCCGUUUCUAAGCCUUAUACAAUAAGCAUGUACAUCUGGUUAUCUCUACCUCGAAAUCUGUUUUCUCGACGUUCUCCAUACGUUCCUACCUUCCUCCAUAGCACUGAGAUAUGAAAAGAAUGAUUGCAAAUACCUCCUUUGAUCGGCAAUAAAAAAUGAACAUAAACGUUA